rnacentral:rRNA from 1 species
CUAAUAGACUACCCGAGGUAGUCCACGCCGUAAACGAUGAGUGCUAAGUGUUAGGGGGUUUCCGCCCCUUAGUGCUGCAGCUAACGCAUUAAGCACUCCGCUUGGGGAGUACGGUCGCAAGACUGAAACUCAAAGGAAUUGACGGGGGCCCGCACAAGCGGUGGAGCAUGUGGUUUAAUUCGAAGCAACGCGAAGAACCUUACCAGGUCUUGACAUCCCGUUGACCACUGUAGAGAUAUGGUUUUCCCUUCGGGGACAACGGUGACAGGUGGUGCAUGGUUGUCGUCAGCUCGUGUCGUGAGAUGUUGGGUUAAGUCCCGCAACGAGCGCAACCCUUGAUCUUAGUUGCCAUCAUUUAGUUGGGCACUCUAAGGUGACUGCCGGUGACAAACCGGAGGAAGGUGGGGAUGACGUCAAAUCAUCAUGCCCCUUAUGACCUGGGCUACACACGUGCUACAAUGGACGAUACAAACGGUUGCCAACUCGCGAGAGGGAGCUAAUCCGAUAAAGUCGUUCUCAGUUUGGAUUGUAGG